rnacentral:misc_RNA from 1 species
GUAGGUGAACCUGCGGAAGGAUCAUCAUUAAAUCCAAUUUAUUCACCCUUGUGAACUGUGUGCUAGGAUUGUACGAAUUUCGUGCAAUUCCUCAUGACGCUUCAUAGUCGUAGUUGUGUGAGAGAGAUGUGCUGCGAAUGUGUUGAAGUUUCUGAGCAACAAUGGUGGUGGCAUUUGCCGCCACUGUUAAGCUUGGGAGUUAAAUGCUUUGUUGCCUCUCCUCCUUGACCACUUCUGCGUUCUGUGUUAGUGUCGAGCAAAAACACCUAUAUUUAUGAAAGCUAAUGCAAAAAUUUAAAUUAAACAACUUUCAACAAUGGAUCUCUUGGCUCUC